rnacentral:rRNA from 1 species
GCAGCAGCCGCGGUAAUACAGAGGGUGCGAGCGUUAAUCGGAUUUACUGGGCGUAAAGCGUGCGUAGGCGGCUUCUUAAGUCGGAUGUGAAAUCCCUGAGCUUAACUUAGGAAUUGCAUUCGAUACUGGGAAGCUAGAGUAUGGGAGAGGAUGGUAGAAUUCCAGGUGUAGCGGUGAAAUGCGUAGAGAUCUGGAGGAAUACCGAUGGCGAAGGCAGCCAUCUGGCCUAAUACUGACGCUGAGGUACGAAAGCAUGGGGAGCAAACAGGAUUAGAUACCCCCGUAGUCCCUGUCUCUUAUAA